AUUAUUUGCACAGGCCCAAUAAGUGAUAAUGUAGAUAAAGAGGCCUAGUCCAAUUUUUCAUAAUCAUACAUGGAUGCUAGUACACCAACUUGGACGCAUGCACAGGCCCAAUAAGUGAUAAUGUACUUGCGCAGAGCCGGGUACCCUAUUGAUGCAUUGUGUAGUUUUUUGUAUGGGAUUUUUUUUUUUAACUUUUGUUUUGCCAUGUUGUAUAUAAUACAUACUAUAAUAGGUUGAUUAUAUUGAUAUGAGAAUAACCGGUGAUUUUUUAUGUGUUGAUAUUUCGUAUCUAUACUAUUAUUUUCGAAGUAAAUUUUUGCAACGGAGCUCUCACGUUAAAAGUUAGAGCGGUUAAUAUCGUUUAUACCCUUAAUGAAUAAUUAUAUAAAUUAGUAGAAAUAUAAAAACGAAUUUCAAAUCUAUCUAAUUAAAAAAAUGAUUAAAAUUAAUAAUAAAUCGUUUAUACCUUUAAUGAAUAAAUUAUAUAAAUAGUCAAAAAUAAAAACGAAUUUAGUAAAUUUUUG
rnacentral:lncRNA from 1 species